GCAUCUGUGGCGAAAAGGUAGACGCACCCCCUUGCCUAAACCCCUGUCCAGUUUGGCUGACAGAGGCUUAACAAGGGGGCGGGAGAAAUCCCAUGCGGGUUCAAGUCCCGUCAGAUGCACCA
rnacentral:tRNA from 1 species